AGAAAAUCCUGAAAUUGAACAGAAGAAAAUUUAGGCUGACUGGUAGGAAACAUUUCCUCAUAUGGUGUAGAGUUACCUCUGGAGAGAAACAGUGAAAGCCUCAUGGCUUGAAUGGUUUCAAAGAACAGAAAGGAGAAAGGUUUGGGGAAUGAAUUUCCAUUGGCAUGGGACAAACUAUGUAACCAAAGAGGUAUUUUCCAGCUCCCCACUUGUGACUGACUCCGUGUUCAAUGCCAAAUUCAUGUGUUAGUUAUCAGGAUUAAACACAAUGCCUACAAAAUUGGGCUUAACUACAAGGCCAUUUGAAAAAAGAGGAAAAAUGCUCUAAUACUGAAACUCAUUGGAAACUCUGAGGAGAUGGCUGCCAGAUUUGGAAACUCCACCUAAGCUCGCACACCUGUUUUCCAGGCGUCUCCAGGACAAACUGCUAAUGGCAGGGCCCUAAUUGCCCUAAGUAGCCACACCUGGGGCCUCCUUGCACCUGUCCAUGAGCCCAAGAACACUAUUUAAGCCCAGGGCAGGGUAAUUUGCUCAUUUCUUAAGUAGCGUCUCUGCAGUGCUGUUCUCCAGCUCCACUCUGGCUGUACAGACAUCCUGGCUCAGCCCGUGCCUCCCUGCAGAGGUGCUGUGGCUGCCCAUUCUGGUUCCAGAGACUCCUUGCUGCUGCUGCUGCCUAUAUGUAGGCACUUUUUCUACGUGCUGAGCACAGCCCAGACUUCAUUAAAUUGUUUUCGUAGCAAGAUGAGAAAAAGGACCUUUCAGAUGGAUCUUAUAGAGCUCCUGCUGCCAGAUAGUUCUGAACUUUCAUGCGGCCUUGGUCCCGAAGUACUGUUGACUUCAGUAAAGGUAAGACUAGAAGGCAUUGUAGCCUUUUCUCAUAAGAAGGAAUUGCACACACCCUGUCCUUUAACACUUGCCACAGAGUACUACAACAGCAAGACAAGGUAAAAUCAACAGAAAUAGUAGAAUCUUUAUGAAUAUUUAGUGGGUCUUGCAACAACUUAUGAAGACUGUAGUCCUUGUUUGAGCUGAUUUUUCCGUUUAUGUGGAGAAAUGAGCUGGCAGAAUGUGCCUUGCUCUUAAGCUUAUUCACUUUUUAGCCUUGCACCAGAGGAAAACCUAACUCUAGAUAGUACAUACUGUAUGUUGGUGAGGCAGAUCUAUUAAGUUGCCGUGUGCAAAACAUAAUUUAUUUCUGACAUAAGAAUAUACCUCUUAUAAAUUUGUCACAUGCUCAUAUGUUGUAAGGGGUUUCUGUGCCAAGUUCUGUGUACGUGGUUCUUAAGAUUUCCCUUAAGGUGUUAAGAGAACAUGGAGCUUCUGGACAAGAGAGGUUUUAAAAGGCACUGGCCUUUUCCCCACUGCAGUGUUUGACUUCUCUGCCAUCCUUGCAAUAUUUAUUCUAUUUAAGAACAGUCAGAAAUGCUACUAAUUCAGCAGAGAAGUUAAUCAGUGCAGACUGUAAAUGUUUAUUUGUUUUUUAAUAGCAGAAAUUAUGUUAUAAAUGACUCUCAUCUAUUGUAAAAACCUGCUAUUAGUUUGUAACCUAGCUUUUUAUUGCAAUACCUGUUGGUGUUGCAAAAGUGAAACAUGAAUUUGGUAUUAACUCUGGAAUAACCAACCAAUCACAAAAUGUAUAACCAUGCUGCAUUUAAAAAUUUGACUUCAACACAAAAAAGAUUAUUACAUGCAUAUUGACAGAUACCAAAUGAAUUGACUCUUUCAGAAAACUGCUUUUAUCAGCUUCUCAAAUCUAAAUUAGUAUGAAUUCAUACUUAUGAUAAACAUUACAUCUAAGCUCUAAGCAUAUUAUGAUAAUUGGUUAAAGUUCUCAGUUUUUCAAAUAAGUGUAAAAAAAAAAAAAAGGUGUGCAUUAUCUUUUUAUUGAAUGCAACUUCACAGAUGCUUCUGAAAUUUGAUAGCAAAAUUAUUUUUUGAGAAAGUUGUAGGCUUUUUAUAAUAUUUUCUUGGUAGCAAUGACUGUUUUUAUAAUGCUGUAAAUGUACCUAGUAGUGUUCCAAACUGAGCAUUUGUCAGUAUUUGGAAGUGAACUAAGAUAACAUUUGUUUCAAUUCGCCGUUCACUUUCUGCUGUUCUGUGUGUGGGCAUUCAUAUUUCAGAUUAUGUAUCCAAAUUAGCAAGAUUUUUUGAAGUAUAUUUUGUAGGUCACUUCUACCUAGAUAUGAAGCAGAUGUUUAUACUGUGGUAGCACUGUCUCAGAAUGAUGAGCUGCUCCAUAGUUGUGCUUCAUGCAGGAAACACAUUCUGUGCUGUAAUGACUCCCAGCAUCAUAAACAAGGAAAGCUAAACAAAUUCAGGUCUGAGAUGGGGUGUAACAGAGAGGAAUUACCAAAACACAAUUUCUGCUGAGAAUGAGAUGGUCUGCUUAGAGAACUUUGUUUUAGAGAAAAAUUAGGAGAAUGAGAAAUAACAGGAUUAGCUUAUUGGAGAGAAAAACUACAUUAGGUGUGGAGGACAAAGUAUCUUAAAAAUGACAAAAAUAGAGACGGUACGCAGAGAGCUAUGUUGGGGAAACUGUAUGUGUUGCGGGCAGAAAUAAAACUGUUACACGUAAUUAAGUUUACUCCAGAGAACUGAGAAAUUGCCUUCACGUUUUCCCUUAUUUUGAAAUGUUUUGCUCUUGCAUAUUGAGAGAAAUCUUCACUUUAAUACCUUAAUCAGUACUGUCUUUUUUUUCUGCAACUACUGUGUUCUUCAUACUUAUUCCAGUCUGGACUGCUGGUCAGACACUAUUGAGCCACUUACAUUGAUUGAAGUUUUUCCAAUUCUGCAACAUCAUCUCUAAUGCAAUGAAUGAAUCUAAUGACCUAAUCAUCUUUUUUUGUGUGUGCAAUAUUUGUGUCUUUUGAGAAGUUUGGAAGGUUAUCCAGCUGUUGAUGCAUUGGAUUCUGUGUUGGCAGUAUCUUCAUGAUAACGAAUAUGAAAGGUGUUGAAAUUUUUUUGAACUAAGAUGAGUGCACUGUGUGUGCUCAGAUACAUAGUUGGAGACACUGAGAUGUCACCAUAGAGAGAAUAUUACUUUUACAUCAAGAUCUCAACUUCUGGGAAGUCUAGCGUUUGUAUGAAAAUCAAGCCACACUUUUUUUCAGAAUAUUCUCCAUAUUAAGCAUGUGUUUUCUGAGGAUUUUCAAGUAAAUAUAUUCAUGAGUAAGUAUGUAUAAAUGAGAUUAUUUGUGGACUUUAAUUAUGACAUGCAUGUACAGUGCUUAUCACUUUAGCUUCUGAAAAUGUUCCCAUUUCAAGGGGCAAUUCCUUGUUGUUGGUUGUUGUUUUUUGUUUUUAAUUAGCCAUUGCCUGCUUUGUACUUUUUGUAAGGAUAUUUUAGCUGAUUCCAGUAGUGUCAUUAGGUCUGAUAUUCAGAGAAGCCAUCUGGACUCAUCACUGACCUGCUAGGAGUAUAAACUUAAGUAAAAUACUGCAUAAAGCUGUGAGUUAUUGUAUAGAUGAAAAUCUCACAAAGGCAACAUUAGUCUAUAUCGGCAUGAAUGUGAAACAGAUAAGAUGGUUGUACGUCAUUAACUGCAUGCUUUUUUCCUUGCUUGUUUUUUCCUUCUCUUUUCCUCCUACUAAAACACAAUUUAUUAGAAACUCAUCUAGUCCAACAGUAGCUCAACACGAUUAUCUGCUAGCUUCAGAUGGCACAUUUGGUCUUCUGGUACAUCUCAGUUGUUGCUUUUGUGGAUCUGACCCUGAGAUUGGGAUGUGCAAAUCUUUCUACCCAAAGGAAAUGAAACCUACUGCUACUUAAUGUUAGCAGGUACUUAUUAAACAGUGGAAAGUCAUUGCCAGCAUCCUCUUCUGUCCUUUGCUGAGGUGAACUUGCAUUGGACAGGCUUUAUGCUUUUAUUGAAGGACAUGUACUGCAGAUAAUUUAAUGAGGAAAAGUGAAGUACAUGUGAAUCCCUCCUAUGCUGAUGCUGUUUUAAAAGGUUGAUUUAUGAUGCAAAUUGGAAAUAGUCAGCUUUAAAUAGUUAACUGGUAGCACAACAUCAUUAUGCAGUAUGCUGUUGCCUGCAUGUAACCAUAGAAAAAACCCACAGGUAUUGGCACAGAUGGGAGGAACAAUCAUAAACCUGUUAUCAAAAUAUCUUAAUUUUCAGAGGGGAUUUUCCAUUCGUGUGCAGGUGUGGUUACAUAUUUCCAAGUUUGGUAAAUAUAGCCAUGAGAGCUGGAAUAUUUUUAGUACCCUUUUAAAAGAGAAUAUAUUAGAGUAACUGCAGGCGUGUGCAUCUUUCUCAGGGAAUCUUCUUGAACAAGUGCUUGUUAAUCCAUGAGAUUUUACUCAGCUAUUUACUUUAUAAAAAGAUAUUUCUGAUCUACCUGAGUUUAUAUUGACUUCUUAGGGUCAUGAAUUUUCUCCUUUCCCUGUGCAGGUGUGGUACCUGUAUCACUUCCCCAAUCCCUCUUGGCUUGUGCUACAUGCAGAGCAUCAGUGCUCAGGGGUCAGUAUUAGGUGGGAUUGAAAGGAAGAGAUAACAGUGAACACUACAGGCUGCAGUUUCUAGAGUGCCUGUGAAUCGGAGACUGACCUGUGCAAGGUUUUCAUAAAUGUUUUAUUCUUUUAUUUUAAUCCUAACCAAAUAAAACUUAGACUAUUGCUCAAGAAAUAGAGAACUGAAUGAGCAAAGUCCUGCUGAGGAGGUGAUGGUUGAACUCCUGGGUAAUGAAUGAAAUGGAAAGUACUUUCUGCUUUGAGCAGUAAAGAGCUUUAUCUCCCUUUUGAAAACUCAAUAGACACAUCCAUCAGGCAGUCUGACAGGGAAAUUAAAUUGGGUUACAGCACUGCAAGAAGUCCAGAUUACGUUCCUGCUGAGUAGUAACAAAUUGUGGUGAACUUUAUAAAAAAAAAACAAAAAAAAACUUCCUGAUUUUUUUACAAAAUAAUCCAGUCUAGAUCUAGACAGUGCUAGAAGAGAUGCUGAGGAGAGUUCUGGAAAAGCUUGGUGUUCCUUAAUAAGGAAUUUUAUUCCUUAUAAUAAAAAUAAAAUUACAGAUAUGGCUUUCCUGCAGAACCGCUUGUGUUCUCUGUUCCUUUUUAAGGACACCAAAUCUGCACAAGGACUAAAUGGCUUUGUUUUUGUUUACUGCAGAAUGGAAAAAUGAAAAAUAUUAUUUUCCUGGCCUUGGGGGAGUACAUUUUCUGUCCUGAUUGUGGUAGGUCACUAAGUUCUACUAAAUGUGAUAGGAGAGGCAAAUGUUCUACUAGGGAUCUCAAUAGGACUUGAUUUUAUUUUACGCCCAGUGAACUUAAAUACAGUAAUCAAAUAAGAAGAUUUUAAUCUAAAUUACCUCUUGGAUAUAUUUCAAAUAAACUGGUGUUUUAGUAACCUUUGUUAAUCUUCUGUUUAUUUAGAAAGGUGCUCUUGCAUGCAGCUGAGAUCCAGGUGCUUUUCAGCUUGGUGAUGCUCAUUUCUAGAACCAUAGCCUAUCUCUGCUUCUCUUAUCUCUCUAUCCUGGGCUCUGAAUAUUCUGCAACUUGAGGCAACUUCUCAGGGCCAUUAGAGAUGUGCCUGAAGAUAGGAAUUCUUGAAAACAGGUCCAGAGUUGUUUUCAAGUUUGUGAACUUCAGCCAGCUGUUCCAUUAAUGUGGCUGUCAGAUUUUUAAACAAAAUCUGAAACAAGAGGGUUUCUGAUGUCAGAUUCUUUGUACUUUCUGAAAAGCUGUGUAUUCAUAUGAAAAAAUAAUAUUAACUGUUCAUAAAUCUGUGUGUAUACAGGUAUGUAGGAUAAACUAAAAUGCGCAUGUGAGAUUCUAGGUUAUUUUUUUUAAUGAAAGGAAGUUCUUCCUCUUCUUCAUGAACUCUCCCAGAACAAUUACAUUUAACUAUAUCACCUAGGCUAUUUUUGAAUAACACUUAUUCUUAGGUCCCUCCACUACUCCUCCCCCCCCCCCCCCAAAAAAAAAAAAAAAGAGAGCCUUAGACAUUCUCUUUUGUUCUUUCUCAGUAGGCAAUAGGAGUAAAAUGUUUCUUUUACUGGCUUCUGCUUUACACAUUGCACUCUUGCCUUAAGCAAUUCAAAACCUAAAUAAAUCUUAACUCACAGAAGAUGUAAGUAUGAGAAAUCUCAUUCUUCUUCUGGAACGGCUUAGGGGCUGAUUGUUUAUUUAACAAGUUGGUGCCCUGAUUUUGCCACUGACCCUCUUUGACAAAAAUCCCUCGCUCACAUACAAACUUAAGUUGCAAAAAGGGAGAAAAUCAGAAAGAAAGAUGAGUCAGUACUCAAAGCUAUGAAGAUCUGCUGAUGUAGGUAUUUUCAGUGAUUUUUAAAUAUAGUUAAAAAUUACAGUGCCGAUGAUCUCUGAAUCCAGUAACGUUCUGAUGUAACCAAACCAAAUGAAAUCUUUCUACUCGUUGUUGAUCGUCUGAGUUACUAUGUGCAACUAGUUUGGGGAAGAGGAAAUGAAUCUGAAGAAAGAUCUGGAAGACUGCUUUAAAAAUCAUAACAUACUACUGUGAGAUUUGAAUAGUGUGCACAGGAUUUUUGCUGCCUCACAAAAAGUGAAAGUGUUUUAUCGUUGGAUGUCCAAAACCAGGGUUGUUGAGUAGUUAUAUUUGGGAGUAGUCUUUUUUUCCAUUCACUGUAGUGGCUAGGAGCAGACACUUUGUGUCCCUGUCAAUAGCAUUUCACACGGAGUAUGAAGUGCCGAAACCAACUGGAAGAGACAGUGCUGAAGCUGAUAUUUUGUUUGUGGAUUACUUAUGUAGGAGAAAGUACUAUAUAUAAACAUGAAUCCAAAAUGCUUUUCAUUACUGUAUGAUUCCCUUUCCACUAUACAGUGUUUUCAGUACAUAAAAUUUUGUUUUACUCAGGCAACUUUCUUAAACUUUAAAACAUUGACUAACCAUCAAGGAAGAGAUGAUCUUUCUGAUGUUCAGUCCUUCCGUGCUUCUCGUUUUCAAUUCUUUUUCAUAUGAGAAAGCAAGAAAGGUGUAUGGAACAGACUAAGGAGAAGGAAGAAGAUGGGAAAAGCACUUCUUAUAUUUUAUAUGUAUAAUUUUAUAUAUUUUAUAUCCUAUUUCCAAAUAGGAAAGUGAAAAUUUUCCCAAAAUAAAAGAAAGGGCAGAAAGGAAAGUGAAGAGACUUUAUUUCAUGUCAUGGAUGUUCUUGCAUCUGUCAUAUGUGUUCCUCUUUUUUUAUUUUUUAUUUUUACAAGAUCAAGCUAUCACAUUUCCCUAGAUGAGAUUUCCUAUGCUUGUCACAAUUCAAGUCUCAGCAAGCUCUUGUACAAUUGUUUUGAGUUCAUUUCUGACAGUGUGAACUUUGGUUUUUACCUUAUAUACUGUAUUAAGACACCAUUCGAGUAAGGAAAAUUUUCAGUGUCUUUGCAUUACUUGGGAUGUUUUUUUUUGGUCUUCAGGACCAAUAUUUAGGUAUGAUUUCACCUUGUAAUCAGACAAAUAUAAACAAUUUGAACUGUAACAAGAUUAGUCUACACUGUUCUCAAGGAGGAAUUUGAGCACAUGAUUCUGAUAUGUUCAGAUAGCUUAUACUGCUAAAUGAUACGCAUUAAAGAGGGUGGACAUUGUAAUUAAAUUCUACUUCAUAGCAUCUUGAUGACUGCUUAAAUUUAACGGUAUGAAAUUGAACCAGAUUAGAACAUGACACUUCCUUGAUUGCACAAAGGGAAUCUUGGAUGGAGUAGAUAUGUGGUUUCUCAAAUUAUAUGAAGUUGGUGAAUUCAAACCCCCUUAGAAUUUUUUCCGUAUUAUUUUGAUUUGAGCACUGUGUAAACUCGGAGUUAAGAAGUGGAAAGUUUUAUUUUACUUUAGUUUGAAUUUAAUCUGAAAUGAUUUACUCGACACUUAAUAUUUAUUUCUUAACUCACUUGAAAUGCACAUUUAAAAAUAUAAUUUAAAAGUGAAGAUAGCUUUAAAAUAGCAUACUGUGUCUCCUAAGCUGGAGUAAAACCCAGCAUCUCAAGCUAUCUUGAAUUAAAAAUCUUACUCUUCUUUCAUUACUCUCCUCUCCCCCUUAAGAAAAUGGACUUGAAGCAGUUUAAGAAAUUUUGUAGAAAUAAUUUAUUUUAAAGUAGCUUCAAUGAGAAAAUAUUAUUACUUGUUUCAUUUCUGAUAUUAAGAUCUUUCCUCAGUCUUUUUGUCGGGAAAGUUUUGACUCUGGUGUUCUAAUUUGUUGAGGGGAUUGAAAGGGAUAGGAGACCAGGGUAAAUGUAUGUAUUUUGAUGAAAUCUUCCCAGCCAGUUCUGCUCUGUAGUCUUUUCUAGGCUUGAUUUGAACUAAGGGAUUCCCUCCCAUAUCUACAUCUGCAAUUUCAUUGUUUGACCUAUUAACUAAUGCAUACAGCACAUCUUUUAUUUCCAAUACUUGGUAGCAAACAAGAGUACCUGCAAAAAGAGAAUUGAAUGCUAAUAAAAACUUAUCAACGCUACAUUUCACAUUGUAUAGUCACUGAAUUUGGUAUUUUCUGAGUUGGUUACACUAGAUUACUUUAUAGUACUUUGUGAUUGAGCAGGGAGCAUGACUUUUUUUGAAUAAUUUCAUUUCCACGGCAGGGUGACUUAAAUUAGUGUCUGACAUCCUUCUAAUACGCUUAGAAAUCUUUGGAACAAUAGAUCUGAAAUUUGAGCACUUUCAUUCUGGUAGAAUAAGAGCACAGGGGUGAAGUUGGAUGGGCUGGAUACGCAAGCAUUGUUCUCUUGAAAACUUAUCGAAGGUAGAUCUUAUCAUGUGUGUGAACACUGCAUAUGAAUACCAGUGGAUCACAUGGAGAAGUUAUGGCCCAGCAGAAACUGUUGCACCUCACAGGGACAGAAUGAGUCCAGGACUUCACCCAGUGAAGUAAUGGAAUGCAUAUACUUAAAUAUUAGACACUAACAGUGGAAGGAUCCAACUUCUGACCUGACUCUCUAUGUUGUAAGAUUUCUUUUAAAUAGUUAUUAGACCUAUUCAACAGCUUUCUUUCAAAAACUUGCAACCUGAUGCUUUACAAUGCAGAGUUUUAGAACUCUAUAAAAAUAUUAAAAAAAUGUGUUAGUCUGUGGGUUUUUCUGUUUGGUUGGUUGUUUAUUUUUUUUUUUUACCUCGGAGAUAUCAUUAGAUGUCAUUUAGGAAGAGAUCAUAGCCACAAAGAAGCAAACUAUUUCUUAGACAUACAGAAAAUACAACUGCAUAUGAAAUGCUUAAAGAAUGAUGUACUAUUAAGCUGAAAUACUUUCUAGCAGCCAUGUGCAUUCCUUUGCAGAUGUAAUGUUUCAGUUGUACACUCCACUCUUCAGGUUAAAAAUUCUUCUGCACUUACCAUGGUGUUAUCAAUAUAACAGCAGUAAGCAGUAAGCAUACAAUUUUUUCCCCUUAAUUUCCUUGACUUGUACAUCUCUUCCCAUGACAGAUGGGACUGGAACUAAUGUGUAUUGAAGGGGAAGUUGUGUGGUACAGGUUUGUGUGGUGACUGAGCAUGUUCUUUAGUACUCCCUACAGUGUAUUUUCAGGUUGCUCAGUCAUCUGAACAGAAGUUUGGAGUUCAGCUGGCAUUUAGCACAGAUGAUGUCAUCAGACCCAGAGGGUAUACUCGCACAGCAGAACUCAAAUGCUGUUGUUAACCAAAUAUUGAUGUAAAGUUAGUACAUUAUACAUUAAGCUUAUGCAGUGUUGCUGGUGGUGUUGCUACAAUGUCUUACAUAAUGAACUAUACUGAAUUGUUCUUUAAAUAAGGUGGUGAGUUUUCUAAGGAUCUACAAGUAAAUAGUAUAUGAAGGCAGUUUUUUGACAUUCUUCUCUGAGAUUCUCAACUGGUAGUUCUCUGUUUUUUCAAUAAUCUAAAGAGCAUUUCUUCAUGUCUAGAUUGGAAUUUGGGGAGAAUUUGAGAAAAUAGAGACAAACAGUUGGAAAAAAAAGACUAAUAAGAGACACAGGAAAGUAUAGUGGCAGAGGAUUGUGUGAUGAAGUACAAUGGCUAUUCUGAAGGUUUUGUUAAAAUUUAAAAUAAAUCUAAGCCUAAUCUGGAACAACAUGCCUAGAGAAAAAUGCUGUUUGCAUGCAACUUUAAAUGCUGACAGUGUAGGGAGGAGUGUGUGAUAAUUGCUAUUCUAAAAUAAUAAGCCAUUGUAAUAGCAAUCUAACUGUCAUGUAGUAAACACACCCCCAAGCAUUAAACCAGAACAUCCAAAGACGAUUUUAUGCAAGCAACACCUUCAUAUCCCUCCAAGCACUUUUCAUCAGCCACUCUAUUUAUGGCUUUGUUCAUUUUUUCAUAUGCUCACAAUUCAAUAAUAAUCAGAGGUAAGGUCGAUCUACCAAAACUUAGUUACUAGAAAGGAUCAAAUACAAUAGUUUGAUCCUGACUGGAAUUUCAGAGAAUGGAAAAUCUGCAGUGUAUGGAUUUGUACUGGAGUUAUCUUAGUACACAAAUGAUACCUUGAUAGUACACAAACGUCACCUUAAGGACCACAGAUAAACAAUCUUAAAACUGGAUGGCAGCAACAGCUACAAAACUGCUUCUUGUGAGAUUGAGCUUGUGGGACAUUGGCAAGUUUUGUGUAUGGGUGUUACCAUUGAUGACUCAAGAGCAUGUGAGCACUUGUUUUCUAGGUGUGGGUGUCUGUUUCUCUUCAUCUGCAUAUGGUGGCUUGUUGUGUCUUUUAUUUUGCUGCUUCUCAAAGAAAAAGAAGCUAGUUCAUCGGGAGUUGUUUUCUUUCUUUCAAGCUUGUAAGUUGUCACAAAAUUCCUGUUCUUACAUUCCCAGUUUCUGUACUGAGCAAGGUCUUUUUGGCCAGUUCCAGUAAAGAAUGUAGAUGCUAUCCUGCUAGCUCAGGCAUGUAAAUCCAUCACAUCGACCCUUAAAGUCCUGCUCAGUUUUCAGCUAUGUUCUGCAGGCAUUACAUUUCAUAGCAUUUGCAUUUUCAAAAUUGAAGUCAGUUACAUGCUUGAAUGAUCUGCAUUUCAAGGCAUAUUUUUUUUUGCCUCUUUCAGUGCCAGAGCCUGACUUGUCAGGUGUAUUCACUCUGCACCAUAUGGAUAGGUACCAGGUAGGCUCAUGGUCACCUCUUGUUCAUUCUGCUGGGGUGAUGUGUUUUCAUGCUACAGGACGCUGGUACUCAGAAAAGAUAGAGCAUCCUAGCUGGCCUAUAAAUAAAUACUAUUUAAAUACUAUUUUGAUAUUUCCACUAUUAAAAAAAAAAAAAAGAAAACCCUCUUGAUGUCUACUAUUUGACGUCUCAUGAAAAGGUGCUGAAUCAUGCAGAUAUUUUUUACUCUGUGAUGGAUCAGAACUGGAAUGCUGACAACUCUGAAGCAUUUCUAAAAGGUUGGUAAUAGUUCAAAUCUCAUCAGCUUCUGAGAUUUUGUCUUUCUUUGGGAAGUUGGAAUUUAAUGCCUCUAGAUGUGAUGUCAGGCUUGAAUCUUUAAGAAGACUUGGAUGAAAAUUCCUUCCUUCUUCUGACCCAAUCUCUUUUCACCCAUUGUGAUAUUACAGAAAUUGAAUUUCAGACCUCAUGAGGUAAAGUUUCUGCUAUGGUCAGCAGAAGUGUCUUUCUAUCUGAUUACCCUUGAGGUCAGAAGCACGUAAUACAUUCAGGGGUGUUUCUAAUUGAACGAAGCUUGGAAUAUGUGAGGGUUGUAGACAGCAGCUGGCCCCAGCAGAGACUUAACAGAUUUGCUGAGAACCUGCAAAGAUCUUGGCAGCAUGUCAACAAAGAUACUGCAGGGUUGCUGGAUGCCAGGAAAAUGAGAUCUUUGCUUUGCAGCAAAGGAAAUGGUAUUUAGGGAAGAUGGGAUUUAAUAAAUUACAAUAGUAGCAUUGUGAACAAAGCUGUAUCUGAAUGUUUCAAAGGCUAGGACUAGUAGGCAAGUUGUGUACUCUGUUUCAUGGGUGAGUAAACUGAAGUAGAAGUAGGUAAAGGAAAGAUAGGCUUUCUUAUAGCAGACUAUUAUCAGAGCCAGGAAGAGAAGUAAUCUGUUCCUAUGUAAGAAAGAAAUAUACUUAAAAGAAGUGAAGAAUGGAGGGAACAGAAACAGUGAUGGAAAAAUGGUUUAGCUGAUUUAAAAGGAUAGGAAAGAGAAGAAUGGAGGCUGAGUGGUUAAAGUAGAACUGCUUGUGGGGAAAGAUCACAGUGGAUUUUGGAGGGAUGUUACUGUCUUCCUGAAAGAACAAGAAAUUGAGUCUAUAGCAUUAAGAGUUUCCUGCUUGCAGUGUCCAAAUAUACAUUCAGAUUUACUCUGAUCAUAUAUUUGCUAAUGAAUUGUUCUGGUAGAGUAUAUAGGCAUUUCUUUGAUAGUUUCAGGUGCUGGAAAAAUUAGCUGUCUGUUUCUAUGGAGUAUAGUGAUGCGUGCCUCACCGUACUGGACCCUGAGAGAAGAUAUCAGAUCAGUCUGCAAGCAACUACUUGAUCUGUUUUGCUGAUGUCCUCUUUGUCUCUUACUGGAGGUUUAGUGAUAAGGUGAUCUCCAGAGAGUUCAGUCAGAAUUAUAAUGUUACAGAGGCAAAGCUGUUGUGGUUGAAGAGCUAUUUUCAUGAUGAGAGAAAACUGAUUCUCAUCUAAUCUGCAGAUUAACCAUGACACAAAGAUUAGCAACCCAAAUGGAGUAUGCCUGCAUGGAAUAUUCCUACUCCACAUGUUACAGGGUCAGGUCUUCAAGGAUGAUAAAAUUUGAUGUUGCAGGCAUCAGUAAACACUCAGUGUUCCACCAAUUUGAUAUAAAGUAUUUCAGAUUUCCUCUCUGCUUACUUGGUAGGCCAUUUUCAAUUGUUAAUCGCUAUUCUUAGGACUCGAUUCCCCUGUAUCCUCUUAACGCCUUGAUCAUUUUGAAACCUGUGGAUUUAUUGACAGUUCUUUAUUAACCAGGUAGCUUUGUUUUUUCAGCACAAUGCUAGAGAGGAGGGAAGCAGAUGCUCCUCUUCAGUUGGGAAUAAUUAAAAAUGCCAGUUAACAAAAUCCUUCUGACUUCUGCAGAUCUGAAAGUAGCCAUUAGCAGCUCUUGAAAUCUCUCGGUUUGUUGCAUCCCUGUGUUCCUUGUGUUCCAAAAGAAAUAACGUGGCAGGCAGGAUACCAUUGAAAGUGUAAUGCAAUGGGUACCAGUGAAAAUGCCAGAUGGAGGGGGAAUAAAUCCCAAAGACAGACUAAUAGUAAAAUAUAUGGAUGACAAGCAGCCUCUUGCUGAUAUGUAGGUCUAUUUCAAGGUAGGACACAGUGUGGUCUAAUUGUAGAGCUAUUGAAUGGGUCAAAUCCCAGCCUCCUUCCAUGUUAACUCAGCCUGAUCAGGAAAUAAUGGCUUUAACCAGCAAUCUUUCUGAUCCUGUGACAGCUAUAAAAACUUACAAAGAAAUUUUCUGUUACUUUCUUUCUCCAUUCCUCCUUCAGUUCCACUCCCCCAAAUAACACUUAGUUGUAGAUUAUUGCCUUUAGCACAAUAAUUAAACUUCUUUAACAGAGCACAGAGCCUGGGAGAAGGUACAGUUGGGUGUGGUACAACGUGCAAGAGCUAAAUAGAUCCACAGAGAUGUUUGCUUGCUUGUAGACUGCCAGCAGAAGCUUAUACAGAAGAGAGAAAGCUGUGGAAGUCUCUUGAAUCCUUGGGCAUAAACUUUUAUUUCUCAAAAUACCAUUAAAGUAGGGAGCUGGUGGAAGCAAGCUGGUCAAUGCGACUUCAAAGGCACGGGGAAUUUUGACAGCAGCUGCUGUUUGUCAGAGAUCUAUAGACUAACUUCCUGCUGUAAGAGGCCUUCAGCUAGUUCAGCUGGAGAGUUACUGGGGGAAAUCCUCACCCUCUUGUCUUUUCAGCAGAGCACACAUAACCAGGACCAUGCCCAGAGCUGAGAAGGGGUACUGGUAGAUUCUCAAUCAGUAAAAUUAUGUGGGUGGAGACAUCAGUGUGGUGCUGUGGGUGAGGGAGAGAUGUUCUCUUCUGAGUAGUGUAUGCACAUGUCCAUCAAGGUCUUUGUUUACAGAAACUCCCAGAUGAGAGCACACUUCUUUCAUCACAUCUCAGCUAACAUCAAAUAAAAAUCCUUGCUUUCUCCUCUGCCUUUCUUUCUCUUUCAGUUAACAAUGCACUAUCACUUUUGUUCAGGGCAGAUGCAUGUUUUCUUUCCAGUGUUCAAUUCCCCUCACAAUAAUCUUUAUCUACCAGUUUUGGAACUACCCUUCUCCAGGAGGAUUUAAUUUCUUUCAAAAAUUGCAUUUCCACUAAAUCAAUAACCUAGCGGGAAUCUUUGGCAAAGGACUGAGCUUUGGUGCAGUAGGUGUCUCUAGAUUUAGUGGCCUGUAUCAUCAUCUUUGUUGGAACUCAUUCUUUUGCUAAAGUUUAACUCCUCAGCUGCGGAAUCCAAACCUCUUGCAUUUAUUUCUGUCCCUGCUGAAGCAAGCUGUCCUAUGCUAAGAGAGCUAUAUAGUAAUCUCAAGAACAUACAAGCAUUUUCUCUGUCUCCUGUACUGAUGAAAUUCUUUCCUCAUUAAGCAUACUACAUAUCACAAUCCUUCAUGCAAAACUCAGCACCAGGUUUGAACUCCUUUAGGUUAAAAAUGAAUCUGAAUAUGCUGCUUCAUACCAAGAAAAGUCAUUCUUUUGCAUAUCUGUGGUUUUCAAAUGCAGUCGUGAAUCCUGAAAUGAGGAGGAUAAAAACCACAAUGAGAUAUUUUGAAAGUUUAGUCUGGCAUCUGUCCAUACUUGACUCUUUUUCUGAACGGAGUAGGGUAUGUUUGUAGUGAAAUGGGAAAUCCAAAAGAAAGCUGUAUGUUCAAAAUUCUGGCAAUGCAUUCAGCCUCUCGGAAGUUCGUAAAGUAAAAGAAAUGUCAAAUGUCAACUUGCUCUAGAAAAACAAAAUGUAAUUCCUGUUUUCUCAAAAGCAUUUUUGGUUUCCAUUUUUUAAAGCAUCAGAGAUUCUGAAAACUACAUUUAGGUGAAAUUUAGAUAUCUGCUCAAUAAAACUUUUUAACCUUGCUGACUUUUGGGAUUGGGAGGUUGAGGAAUUAAAGAUGGUGGGGGGAAACCCAAACCAAAAAAAAAAAUUGAUUACCAAGUUGUAGUAAUUUUUACACCACGCUUAUCAGAGUUGGAGUCAGAUUUGAGUGCUCUCAGCUUUUGUUGCUUAUUGGAAAGUUUUCUAGAGCUGGGAGUUCCUCACAGCCUUGGUAACUGCUUCCCAACUGCUUGAGCUCAAAUCCCAGUUUCAUAUGCCCAUAGUCACAGACCUUACAUAUGUAUCUUACAGGUUUUUGUGCAUCUCUCACAAUGUUACACCAUGUAUGUCUGUGUGGGCAAUGAGUGCUAUAGCAAAGAUACCAGGUUCUACCUUGUAAAGACAGUGCAUAUACUCAUACAUGGGGCUUGUACUUCUGCCUUUUCUUCUUGAGGUUGUGGGUUCAAAGACAAUUUGCAUCACUUGUCAGCACAUCAUCUUGGUCAGUGUUGUCAAAUAAUGAUAUUAAUGAAGAGGAAACGUGUUUCCAAUUCCUUUUAAAUUUAUUUUGUAUCGGGAGAAAAGAAGAUGGACCUUAAUUUUAAAACUCCUGCAACAAGCCCUGGCACUUUGGUCUGAGGAAACUGCACAGUUUAUCUGUGUGCACUUUGGGAAGUAUUAUCAGGAAAGGGCUCUGAACCCAAUCAGGGACACAGCCUAAGGUUUGCAAAUGAGCUCUCUUGGGGAGUCUGCUGUACCCUUCUUUAGAAUUACUGGAUACAUGGGUUGGAAUGGCUCAUGCACGUGUCAAUUACAGAGUGUGCUCAUACAAAGUGUAUGGAUAUUGUUUGGAAAGCACUGUUAAAGUUUUGGCUUAUAUAGGCACAUUCUGUGGCCUGACAGGAUUACUCCCGUUGGAGUAAUAACUAAGAGUUUUGCUUACUUAGGGCCUGUUCCUACUCCCUUUGAAGCUAAUGGCAUAAUUCCCAGUAAUGUUUAGCAGUGCAGCUUUAAAGCUGAUAGAAUUUGAUGUUAGAGGCCUUAGUCAGUGCUCACUGAAGUACACAGGGGUUUCCCCAGUUAUUUCAGUAAGCUUUGGAUAGAACUGCAAAUUCAUGAAAAUAAUUACCAUCUCUAUAGAAGUUGUUAUGAGUUCUAUACUUAACAAAGAAGAAAGUCAAGAGAAUUUCUUUACACUGGCUGAUACCACGUGCUUUUUUGUAACACUGAAAUAUUUACUUCAAGUAAGUUCCCAGAAGUUUGGAACAACCGCAUCCAAAAGCAAUAGACUUGUUAAAUUGAAAAGGACAUUUUAUGUUGUGCCACAUCUCUUGUGACUGCUGAAUACGCUGAGCUUCUACUGAUGGAGGAACUGCAAAUCUCAUGGUAUCUCAGCCUUCAGGCUCCUAAUCCCAGCUAGUCAGGCCUCACAGCAUCUGCAGGGAAAUGGCAAUGAUGAAAAGAGAUGUUUCAGCUGCUUGAAGAAAAAAUAGCUGGCAAUUUCUCAUCUCAAAGUCUGGUACCCCUCAGAACCAUCACAAGGUAUGAAAAAUAUUCCCUCUAGUUUCAGUAUGCUCUUUGACACACAGGAGUUCCCUUUAGUUCUGAAAUUGCCUUCACCUACAUUUCUCAUAUGCUACUGGGAGUUUGCCAAAGCACAGUUAUUUUUGUACUUGGACUUUGGUACGUCAGACUUGCUAAACUAGAUCUUUAAAGAGAUACAGAAAAAAUACAGCAAACCGGGGAGAAGCACAGAAAGAUAAUAGAGGAAGUUUGUUAGCAUCCACUUGUUUGGUUCAACAGGUCUUUUGGUCUAAAGGGCAGACAAGAGAGCCUAUCUCAUGGUUUUAAAGGGAGAAUGGAGAAGGAAAAGGGAAUUUGUUGUUGCGUGGGUGUGAGUAUUUCAUUUGUAUACUGCUGAUCUACUGGGUUGCUUUAAAUGAAGGACAAAAAUUUCUCACUUUUUUUCCUUCUAUUUGGAUCUCCUUAUAUUCAGUUACAAUAUAUGAGGGCUACUCCAUAAGUAAUACCUCCAAUUUUAUUAUGUUGGCCCACAACGUCAGAGGCAAAUGUUGCCGGUAUGGCAGUAGAGAUUGAACUUUCCUGUCAGCAUCCUGUUACAUUUUGUUAUCACGUGACAGAUGGCAGCAGAGGUGCGGUCUGACAUAAUGGUGUCUGACAUGGAAGUGCAUGUGAAGCAAAGGUGUGGAAUUGAAUUCCUCCAUGCGGAGAAAGAUGGUACCGAUUGACAUUCACCAAUACUUGCUGAACAUUUAUGAAGAUAAGUAGAUGUGAGCACACUGAGGCAAUGGGUGGUGCAUUUCAGCAGUGGUGACAGUGACAGUGGGUCACCUGCACUCGUGCAGUUUUUUAGGAGCAUGACAUGCAGACUCUUGUCCAUCACUGGCAAAGAUGCAUAGCUAACAGUGGUGACUAUGUUGAAAAUAGUGUUUUGUAGCUGAGAAUAUGCUCUAUCAAAUACUGUUUUAUUGUGUUCUUUGUAUCUGUUUUAGUGUCUGUGGAAAUAAAGAGGAAGUAUCACUUUUGGAGUGAUCAAAAGUAAACAUAAAAGCAAUCUUAAUAAUGUCACUGGUUGGAUUUCUGCAGUACUGGACUGGAUGUUGUUUGGGCUUUGUAAUGCGUGAAUCAUUCUACUGGUGUAAUUUAAGCUUCUUUAGGCCUAUACGUUUAUUAGCACUAUCUUAUCUGCUAGUCCUCCUAAAAGAGAAGGACCCAUUGAACCAGAUGUCUUUCCUUGUGCAGAAGCAGCAUUAAUGCUUCAAGCUUUCCUAUGCCUUAAAUACUUGUUCUAGAGUUCCAGCUUUGGGUGUAUGCCCACCUAGCAUAGGGUAGUACUGGAUUCCAGUUUAGUUCAUGUGAAAAAUACUGAGCUGUGUAGGUUAAAUAGCAUAAUAAGUGUUUUCCCAUCUUUUUCAUCGUUGCUUUAGUAGUUCUCUAGUACUAGGGCUGUUAGUUUUCUAGGGGUCUAGCAUAUUACAGAAAAUACAGCAAUGUGAAACUUGUAUGUUUUUUGGUGUUUUCACUGAUUCUAGCUGAAUGUUACACUAUAGACAUGCCCAUGGCAUUUAUGAUACUUUCUGGUUUAAUCCAUGUGUCUUCUCUCAUGGAAUGGUAGAUUUUGCAGCCAUUUACAUAAUCAUUGGAGAAGGUAAUCAUAAACUUUAACAGUUAACCGUGCACCGCUUCAACAACACCCACUUGAGCUAGAAUGUCUUCUACAUUAAGCUUUUUGUAUUCUAGCUCAGUAGCUUUUGGGUUAUGGUGAACCACUCGGUGUUCCCAGAGUCACUUGGAGAUUGCUAGGUAAUCUGAAUGGCUGUUGGAUGAUUUGAGCCAUCUAGGACUGUUGAGAUCAAUAUCAAUGUGUUACUGAGAGACUGAAUCAUGCAUCCUACAGUGGGAUUAUGGAUACUCGUGGAAAUCUGUAAACUACUCCUGGAACUUCUCAUCCUUUUAUUUCUGAAGCAGUGUUAUCUGUGUGUGGCUUUCAGCCAUGAGGUUCACAGUCAGAAAGAUUGUCUGAUUUUCCAUCACAAAAAUUACUUUUUUUUUCAUGUGUGUGUUUGAUCAUAUGUAUUAAAGUGUGUUAAUAACGUAUGUAUGUACAUCUGUAAUUUGUGUUGGCAUUUAAGUCUGUAGCAGAAUCCCAAACGUGGAAUGGAAUAGAAUGAAUUAAUGUAAGAGUGACUACAAAAUAAUGUGGGAUGUAUAUUUAUAAAAGGAAGUUCUUUGUCCAGAUGUCCCACUGCACUCCUUAGGGAGUGUUUGUGAUUGCUCUCUGAAAUGUAUAUCACUUCAGAUGAAAUAUAUGAUACAGACCUCCUUGGGGCCAGGAAAAUUAGCAAAAGCACUUAAACUGUACAGCAGCAUCACUUAACCACUCUAGUUGAAUUAUAUUAUAAAUAAGCUAUUGCAGAAGCCUCUGGGGAUCUGCUAGUUAAACACUUCAAUGUGAAAGAGAUCUGUUUUUCCUGUUUUUGUUUUUAAAUGUUUUUAAAAUGACUUUCCCAUUUGGACCUAAGAAGAGAGGAAGCAAAACAGACUUAGGACACAGAAUUAGUUAGUUAAUCUGCUCUAGUAAAAUGAUGAUAUCUUUGUCUACAUUAGUGAUGAAUGUUGAAUAGCAGAAUAAUACUGAAAACUGAUGGGAGUACUUUUUAACCUCCUUAUACUGAAAAAAUGUGCCUGAGGAAAGUAAACUUUAAUAUAGUAGAACCUAAUACUAUCACUUUUCAUGGGGAUGGAUAGCUAUAAGGGGAAAGAAAUGGCAAAUGAAGCCCAACUGAAGCUAUAAGGUAUCUAUUACUUUUAAGGUGACAAGGCCAGCAUAACACAAUCAGACCUAAGGGGUAAAUUAUUUUAAAUGUUUUAACUGAAGAUUUCAACACUGAGUCUCUGUCAUUGGCCAGAUGUGUGAACAGGAACAAAUCAGAGCAAAAUUGUAUAUACAAGUGUGAACAAGGGCUAGUUAAAGAUGCUGUCUGCAGAAGCUGACUGCAAGCUGUUAACUCAGGGUAGUUUGCAGAAAACAGUUUAUUGAUUUCAAAGGAAGUAGUGGUCUUUUGCAACUGUGUCAUUUUCAGGUUUGGUUAUUUUUUUAACAGUUUGGAGAUAUGUGUUUUCAUUAAGAAUAGUUUAUAAUAGAACACUGUAAGAUCACUUGGUAUGCACAUUCACUCUGCAUAAUUGCAAAAGGUGGAAAAAGUUAUCAAGGCACAUAGAGCACAGAUGUGCAAGUCCUAGGGAGAGGAAAAAAAUGGGUUUUACUUUAACUUAAACUCUCAUUUAUUCUCUAUGUGUCAGUGCUCAAUUUGCAGAUUGUUGCCGCUGAGGUCAGGUUUUAGGACAGAGCAGGACUACUUUGGAAAACUUGAAGUUUUCUUGGUGCCAAUGUUUUCAUACAACAGGGUGAAAAAGUAGGAAUAGUGAAUGACUUAAGUACUUAUCCCAUGACAGGUACCAGUUGUUUUGCAUGAUUUUUUCAGUUUACUACAACAUGAGCAUUACACCAACCAGAACCUGCAACAAAGUUUUUUGGAGACAAAGCCUCCUGGCUUUGCUGUAUGGAAAGGUGUUAGAUGCAGAUUAAAUGAGGCAUGUAGUCUGUGUGCUGUUUUUUUUGCUUUAUUUUCUGCAAAUCUUUUCUAAAUAAUGUAAGGAAAUGAAGUACUCAACAGGUAAUGUCUUGUUUUAAGAAGUUGCUUAUGGAGUACCACCACAGUAGCUUUCCAAGAUAGAAGGACUCUAAAGACUAGAUACUGAAUAUCAGACUGCUUUAGUGUAAAGAAUGAUGGAAAAGAUCACUAACCUCUGGGACUAAUCUGAGAAUGUGAAAUUCUUCAAAGCACCCUAUGGUAAGUAUUGACCAGAAACAUAAAUGAGCAGAAGUACACUUGAAAAGACAAGAUGGUGUUAGAAGGGCAUUUAGCCUGGUAGCUUUAACACUUAGCACAUCUCAAGUAAAUGUAGAGAUCAGAAUUCACUCAAGCUAGACGUUACUGUGGAAAUGUAAUAAAUGCUGGUUUCUUAGAGAUGCUGAAGAAAAGGGACAAUGAAGAGAGUUCACACCUAAGAAUAUAAUACUUUAGACAGUGAAGAACACCGCUUAGAAAAGUUGUAUCCUAACUCUCUGAAAUAUGCAGUAGUUAAAAAUCCACAUGCAUUUUUGUAUCUUUCUCUUCUGUAAGAAGCAGAAGCCUUUCAAUAAAUUACAGUGAUGUACUUGACUCCCCAGACCCAAUUUACUGAUAUGAGCACUGGAACAGGCUGUCUAGAGAGGUGGUGGACUCUCCUUCCUUGGAGAUAUUCAAGACCCAGCUGGAUGCCUACCUGUGCAACCGACUGCAGAACAUCUGCUGUAGCAGGG
rnacentral:lncRNA from 1 species